UGGAGGGAGAGUCCUUGGAGCAAGUUUAGAACCAGGACCCAGAAGAAAGGGUCAAGGGAGAAUCUCUCUGGUGUCUUGCAGCUAGGAGCAUGGGGGGAACCCUUCUCUUGCUUUUGCUUUCCCAACUUCCUGCUCACCUGUCCUGUGCCCACAUGAAGCAGGAGGUCUCUGUCACAGGCAUUCAGGGGAGCUCAGCUCCAAUCUCCUGUCAGGUCUCUAAUGCUGCUUCCAGCUGGAUACACUGGUACCGGUUUCAGGAUGGGAAGCCCCCCCAGCGCCUUCUCUACUUGUCCCGGGAAUCAGGCGAGCUGCGUUUUGAUGAGGGCUUUGGCAGUAAUAAAUUCCAUGCUUUUAAGGAUCAGUUUAAUGGUGAGAAGUUUAUCUUGUUAAUCAAAAAGCUGGAAGUGAGAGACAGUGGCAUGUAUUACUGCGCUAUCUGGGACGACCACGGUGCACCAGGAUGCAUCUCCUCCCUACACAAAAGGCCCUGCUGGCAGCAACUUGGAGCAGCUGGUGCUGAACAAAGCAGGGAAAGCUUCUGCUUCAACCCUACCCUGUCCUUACUCUCCUCAGCCUGUGCAGGACCUCAGCCAAUCUUCCCUCCAUGGAUGGAGAAAGUCCUUCCUCGAGCCCAACAUACCCCACCACCCUCCUCUCAUCUAAACCCUUGA